rnacentral:lncRNA from 1 species
ACUUUUGGAAUAGACUCCAUUAUAUGUCCGUUGUCGUCUAGCCGUCCAUCAUCUCUGGCUGUUUGAGAUAUGCAAUAGGGAACAAAGGAUUCAUUAAAAAAACUGCAGUGUCACAUUUUGAUGAGCGCAUUGGAAACACACCAGCAACAAAUUUAUUCAACAAAAAAAAUUAAAUUUAAUAUGCUUGCAAAAACAUGCUACAUCUAUCAACCUGGUCCAACAAAGCAAACCAUUGCCACCUGCCCACCUCAACACUUGGUUCAACCUCAAAGAUGAUGUACUAGCUCCAUGGUCCUGAAGUUGUCAGGCUCUUUCAGGCUGUAUCAGUAAAUGACAAAGGUGACUCAUAUAACUGAUUUAUAUAAAAUUUAGAUUGGUCAGGUGUGCCAAGCCCUUGCAAUAGAGUGAAACAAAGACAAGGUCUGGGAGCCCCAACAGGAACCUGUGGUGGACCCUUCCCAGAGAAAAAUUUAUUUCACAUCAUGUGGACAAAUGGCCUAUGUCUCACUCUCAGAUGCUACAUAGCUAAGAACAGAUAUCACAUUUGAUCUCAGGCAAAAGGAAGAGAUGGUAUGAUUUUCUCUUGAAUUGGACUUUAGUUGUAUCCAUUUUGCUCUCUUAUACUCAUGGACAUACCAAGAACGGAAAAUAAACGCUUCAUUUUGUUCUGUGCAUUUAUUAGGUAGAUCAGUGACUGAGACCCUAGCCAUGUGUUAACCAGAAGAAUUCCAAAUCAUGGACAUGCGCAUAUAAUAUAUCAUAACACACCUUCUUAUGAUUUUUAUUACGGAGUAUUAUUUUUUCCUUAGGUUCAUUAUAUUCUCAACUCGAUCACUUGCUAGAUCUAUAAAUAGCAUGACACUCAUGUAGCAACCAAAUGUAAAAUGCAACAUAAUGUCUAUUGUUACACACUAAAGAGACUGUGGUUAAACAUAAUGUUUAUCUUUUCUUUAUAAAUAUCAUUGAAAAUGUCUGCUUGAGAAAUGUUUGAUGAAAUGUCAAUGAGAAAAACAAAGACAUGAUGGAUUCGUAAAACCAUCCAAUGAAACUAACCUGAAGGUUUGCACACAGAGAAAUGAUUGAUCGAAGCUUGCCGACGAGAUCCCAACAUAAUGAAUAAUUGAGAAUAAAAAUGAAUGAAAUGAUCGUUCUUUUCGAAUUGAAUAUCAAAUAGAGUAGAGAUAUUGAAGAGCGGGAAGAAAGAAGAGAAAUUAGACAACUCACACUCUCGAGUCUGGACUAUGGACUCUUCGAA